UCCUUUGCACGGGGCCAAGAGCUCCUCACCACCUGAGAAGCAGGAAGUUCUGCAACGGGACUAACAAAAAUGUUUGUUCCUUGGGGUAUUUCCAGCCCGGUCCUCUUGCUGGCUCCUUUUCCAUAGCCGAUGCUCUGCUUCGUGCACGUUUUGCUUCUAUAUGGUCCUGGGCACUGGCUGCUGGCCAUGGCAGGAUGCUGUGGCCCUGCACCCCAGCCUCUGAGACAAGGAGUGGCAGAACCAGGACCUCAAAGCAGAGCCAGAAAUAGGGAAGCUGGUUAUCUGAAUUACAGCGUCCCAGUUUAGCCUCUCCUGAUCACAUGCUGUCUGCUCCCUGACAGCCUUGCACCGAUGUUACAGACAUCAGCAGAGCCCUGCUCAGAGGCUGUGCCUUGCAGUCAGAAGUGGAGUCAUGAGCUGGAAAAAAAAAGCAAAUACAAGCUAAAAUUGCAAUGUCUUGAGGCAAGGGAGGAGGAAAAAAAAUCCAACCUGAUGGGCAUCACGGUAGUGCUCUGCAUCAUCUUACAUAAAAGCUCUUUCUCAGCUGCCCCAAUUUAAAAGUGUGGGUGAGGGUUUAGUUACUCUUUAAAACUGGUAUUUCUGAGGCUGCCACUAUUCAUCAUGUUGCUAAAAUGAAGGAGACACUGAUAGUGAUUUAGGUCCAGAUAAUCAUAGCAGAAAAGAUAAAAGACUGUUGAGAGGAAGUGCAUAGGCCCAGGCAACAACUAUAAUGUCUAUAUCAAACUGGAUGGUUGCAUCACAAUAUAGCUUAUUGAUGGUCAAUGUGUUCUGAAAAGUGAACAGUAUCGUUUUCAGAGAACUUCCUCUUGCCUUCUAAGGUGACUGCAUUUUGGUGCCAAUCUUUUAGGCCCAGUGCUGGUGCUGGACCUGUCAAGGCACCAACCCUCUAUCUUGGCAGUGACACUGAGCCUGGACACCAAGGGUCUGCUGUCUUCCGUCUCUCAGGGCCUGUGUCUGUGCAGCAGGGCAGGCUGACCCCACAGUGCUCCCCAGCACCCUGGUCCCAUGGGAAUCACCCCGAGUGCGCCUGGCCAUGGGCCAGGCCUCCGGGGUUCCCUGGGGAAGCCUUUGAUGCACAGACAGGGGUGGUCACCACAUGCUUGUGGGCCCUUCAUUGACAAAGGCGCUGGCUGCAGCACAGAGUCUGCCUCGGACAGCAGGCACCCCAAGCAGCCCGCCGGCUCCCCAACCCCCGCUGCGCUCAGCCACAAGGAAUGGAGAGGAGGAAAAACACAGGGAGGAAGACCUGAAGUGGAAAAACAAACCCAAAAAAAAGGCGUUGCAGACCCACAUGUGUGAAUGCUGCUGGGAAGAGCAAAGAUGCGCUGACAAAACAAACCAGGAAUGUUGAGGCCUGAGUUCUGAAACACAUACGGUUUAUGUUGUUCUUACCACAAACCAAAAAUAUGUUCCCAUUUGAAAUGGUUGAAUCCACAGCUGUUUUAAAAUCCCUUGGUACUUCUGAGACAAAUGAUCCAAGUCAGACUGUGCUAACAGGGUCAGUUUUAGAGCCAAGCGAGAGCUGUGACUGAUGCAAAAUCACUGCAGUUCCAUCCCUUUCCACAUCAAUCAUAGCUCAAUGAAAAUCCUGCGGGGCUGUCGGGCUCUCUUACAAUAUUGUUUACAUUAGAAGAUGAUGUAAAGCUCCUCUAGCAAAACUGUGCUGCUGGAUUAUGAUCCUCACUAACAGCAAAAGAGCUUAAGUUGCAGCUGCAGGACAGCACGGAAAGAUGCAGUCGCAUACCCUCAAAUUUACAUUUACAAAAGCAGUCAUUAAUGUUUCAUAAAAUACACCCAUUGAUUCAUCUCUGCAGGCAAAUUCUCUCCCUUUAAACCGAUGAUUAUAAAGCACCUUGGGGCGAGCCUACAUCCUAGAUGCUCUAAAAGUAACCGCCUUGAUAUUGUCAUAAAAGCUGAAAUGGCUUUAAUCCAUUUCCUCACAAUAGCAGUUUUAAUUCACUCCAAGAGGACUGGCUGUCAGGAAAAUAAUAUUUUUCUCAGAUUCACACCUGAGGUCAAAACCUUGCCCUCUACGCCAGAGCUAAUAAAUCACAAUUCUUUUUUCCUGCUCCAUUUGAACGGUGAGGACAGUCUCUUGUAGAAAGACAAAAAAAGGGUCUUUGCAGGAGCCAGUGAGACAUCAUGGGGGAGGGAUAUGGAAAAGUCUCCAGCAGCAUCCCAUAAUCACAUACCAGGGAGGGCAGGCUCGCAGCUGUGCUGGGCCUUGAAAAGAAAGAUUCAGCACCUGUUUAAUCUUGACUGAAAGGUCUCAAGUUAUGGCUGUUAUGCUCUAAUACACCCCAUUAGAUAUUUGCAUAUUAAGCAUACAGAAAAGAAAACCGUUUUGAAGUGACAAGGAGUGAACAGCGUUGCAGCCUCUCCCACUCUCCGCAGGUCCCUCUAAUUGGCUGCUCUCGUCCUGGCACUUGAUUGCUCUGGAGCCAGGGUGGGUUUUAAGGCACAAGUUCCCCAGACAUUCCAGUGGAGUGGAGCUGCCACCACUCACAGACAAAGUCCUGGCAGUCACCAUCAGAGGUACUUGGGAGCCAUCAGCCUUCUGCUCAGCCCAGGAGAGGAGACUGGGCUGCAUCUUAUGCCGUGUCAAUAGGAGUGAUCAUGGUGGGCUGAGAGCUCUCUUCAGCCUGGCUUUCCCACCAUCAGCAUCACUUCCCCAAACCAAGAAGCCUGAAAUCCAGAGCCUUUUGCUUCUACCCACAGCUUCUGACUGCAUCGCCCGGGCCUCUCUGAAAGGUUCUUCUACCCAGCACAGGUCCUGCUGCAAAGAGACCCAGACAAAAGCUUUAUUUGUGUGGCUCAAUGAGAAACCGAGGUGCGCACAGGGCUGGCUGCCAGUAAACACCCAGCAGCUCCUGUUUCUCUGCAGACCACACUCAUUUAGGAUCGCUCCUCUUCACCUCCCGCCUUAGGAGCCAGCAAAGUGUCCUGCGCUUGUGAUGGCAGACAGGAACUGGGUCAUGCUGACUGUCCCAGCUCAGCAUCCCAGGACCGGGACAGCCCAUGCCCUGUCAGGGAGCAGCUGCGGGGCUGGGGAUCACCAGCAGCGAUGGGGGCACUUGCACUGAAGCGGACGAGUCCGCUCUGUCCCCCAGCCAGCGCUGCCAGGGAUGAAAGCUCCGCUUCACAGCACCGCGGUGCCCUGGGCCUGGGGACAACAGGAAAUGUGGUCACACCAGCCUUUCUGCCAUGCACAUUUGGCAGAUUCAGCUUAAAGUCAGGCCUUGCAUGUGGUUUUAGAGGUAGCUGAUGUCUGGUUUGAUAUUCUGUUGACACGGUCUGUUUUUAGAUGUGGUUUCGAGCACAGGCCUCACAAGUGCCGCUGCCUUUACAGAGUGCUUUUCAUCUGGGAAGGAGCAGCAGCAGGGCCUCCCUCAGCUCACGAGCUGGAUCUGGAACAGCAUCAGGAGAGCAUUUAAGAACGGGCGUCUCUGCACAGAGUAUAAGCACUUGUCUGGGGCUUUCCAGCUCCAGCUGGCACACAAUUUGCAAACCUGGCCCUGGAGAAGGGGUGACAAGCUCCUGGUGUCCCAGCCAUGCCCGGCAUCCUUGACAGAACAUCCCAGGUUGUUCCAGAUAUUCAACGGUAUCAAUUCCCAGCCCCUCACCCUUACCGUGCAGCAGCGAGAUCUCAGCUCUGCACCCUCCGAGCUCCCCCCACCACAGUGUGACCACCACUGGCCUCUUUGCCUGGGGUCAGAGGCAGAUGCAGGAGAAGGCAUCUUUCAGUGGCUUUCUUCUUUGAAAUCAGUGUUGCUGUGUGUUUUGCUGCAAGAAGGCAGCAUCAGAGAAAGUUGCCUCAUGCUGGGAAAGGAUGAUGGCAAGUGUCUGAUGCUGCCCAGUCUCCAGGGUUGUUCCUUCCGCCGCUGCACAGUGGAAAUGCUUUGCUCCCUGCACAAAGGAGCUUUAUUCUUAUGGCAGAGACUUUUAUUGUGCCAAAGGAACUUGUUCAAUACAACAACUCUCUUUGUGCAGCUGCUUCACCCAUGAGCCACAUGCAGUCCCAAGGCAAGACUUGAAUACUGCAGAGGGCAUUAUACGAUCCCUCUGCACAGAGAUACAUUCAGCUCAAACAGUGUUAUUUUUGUCUUAUUUUCUGGUGACUGCUGGAGGGGGACACAGAUGAGGACAAUGGCAGGGAAAGUGUGUGUGAGCCAUGCAGACAUUUUAUGUCUUUUCACUUACAAACACAGAGAGAAAAAAAAAAUCACUGAGGUCCUGAUGUGCCUAAUUGCCCAGCAGCGGCAGAAAGUGAGCUGGCAGUGUCUGCGUCAACCUGCACCAGCUGGUUCUUCACCUCACCAUAUGUCUGCUCAGACACUUGCGACUCCUCUGAACAAGCCACAUGGCAGCUUGGACACUCCAUAAGGGCUGUGCAUGCUGUUCUAGAGAAGUAAUCAAAAAUAAUUCCAAACGGUCAGUGUUUCUGUCCUUGCCCGAGACUAGAACUGGGCUUUCCUGAUGCUUUUCUGUUCCUUACUUCAUUAUAAACAUUACAGAUGUUUGAAAUGUAAUCCUGCCCUCUUACCAGUCACAACUUUAAAUAAACGAUUUACUUACAAUGGCCAGCCAGGUUGGCAUUUCCUAUUGCCAGCCUACUGUCUGGAUUAUUUUUUAGCCUCAAAACAUCUGCAGUCUCAUGUUUGCUUGUAAGAAAUGCUCUCUCUGUCAGCCGUUAUUGCUAAAUGACGCUGAGAUGGAAUGGUCACAGGCUCUCAGAGGUCUGGAAGGUUCAGGUAGUGCUGCCGCUCAGCUAUGGGGUGAGUUUCUGGAGCAGAGCAGCCUGCAGACCCUUGCCUUCCAGCUGGCUCCUGCCUUCACCACACUGGCAGAAAACAGCACUGCUGGGUCUUAGAACAGUUGCCCCCUCCACCAAAUUGACUUAUUCCAGAAUGACAUUUGACAGUACUCUGAGCUCCUGUCUCAGAGCACAGAAGAACACCUUUAUCAGGAUAUAUGCAUUUCUACAAUCAACAGAGCAGUCUCCUGGUUCUUGCUGCUGGCGAAAGGAGAACGCCUGAAAAAUCUUUUGUCAUUAGCGUAUCAUUAUCAUCAGCAUAUCACCAUUAGACA